UUCAUUCCUAGGAGACGCACUUCCUAGUUUGAGUAAUUGAAGUUUCACCCACAGGAGACGCACUUCCUAGUUUGGGUCAUGUAAGUUCAUUCCUAGGAGACGCAGUUCCUAGUUUGAGUAAUUGAAGUUUCACCCUUAGGAGACGCACUUCCUAGUAUGGGUCUGUCAGGUUAAAUUUUUGUCCUAGGAGACGCACUUCCUAAAUAAAAAUUUUAUUCGCAGGAGACGCACUUCCUAGUUUGGGUCAUGUAAGUUCAUUCCCAGGAGACGCACUUCCUAGUUUGAGUAAUUAAAGUUUCACCCCCUAGGAGACACAAAUCCUAGUUUGGGUCUUGCAGGAUAUAUUGUGUUUUAGGAGGCGCACUUCCUAAAUUAAAAUUUUACCCCUAGGAAACGCACUUCCCAGUUCGGGUCAUGUAAGUUCAUUCAUAGGAGACGCACUUCCUAGUUUUGGUUCAUUCAAGUUACAUCCCUAAGAGACGCACUUCGUAGUUUGGUUCAUAUAAGUUCAUUCCUAGGAGAUGCACUUCCUAGUUUCAGUUAUUGAAAUUUCACCCCUAAGAGACAUACUUCCUAGUCUAUGUCUGUCAGGUUAUAUUUUUGUUUUAGGAGACGCACUUCCUAAAUUGAGGUUUUACCUCUGGGAGACGCACCUCCUAGUUUGAGUUAUUCAAGUUUUAUUCCUAGGAGAUGCACUUCCUAGUUUUGGUUCAUUCANNNNNNNNNNNNNNNNNNNNNNNNNNNNNNNNNNNNNNNNNNNNNNNNNNNNNNNNNNNNNNNNNNNNNNNNNNNNNNNNNNNNNNNNNCCCCUAGGAGACGCACUUGGAAAUGCACUUCCUAGUUUGAGUUAUUCAAGUUUUAUUCCUAGGAGAUGCACUUCCUAGUUUUGGUUCAUUCAAGUUACACCCCUAGGAGACGCACUUCCUAGUUUAAGUUAUUCAAGUUUUACACGCACUUCGUAGUUUUGAUUCAUUCAAGUUACAUCCCUAGGAGGCACACUUCCUAGUUUGAGUUAUUGAAGUUUUAUCCCUAAGAGACGCACUUCCUAGUUUUAGGUUCAUCCAAGUUUCAUCCCUAAGAAUCGCACUUCAUUAUUUGAGUCAUUUAGGUUCUAUUCUUAGAAGACGCACUUGCUAGUCAAAUAUUCUUGGUUUUACUCACAGGAGACGCACAUCUUAUUCAAGUCUUUAGUUUUACUCUCAUUAUUGCAUCAGUACCAUAAGUAGUUUACAAUUUUUUUUAACAACUCACAAAUCUUCCUAGUGCAAAUUGGGACAGAAAAUUUUGUUUGUUUUGUUGUUUUGAUUGCAGACACACACCUGGAGAACGAGGGAAGACAUUUCAAAGUUCAUUUCAGAAUCAGUUCAAGUUUCAUGUCAGUAGCAGGCACCCAGCUGAAGAACAAGGGAAGCCAUUUUAAAUUUCAAUUCAAGUAGAAGUAGCAGAAGCUCGCGGCCAGAAUGCGAGUCAACAAUCGUAGGUGACCAACAGAAGUGGUCUCAAUCCAAAAAAGAAAAAAAAUGAAAAAAAAGGAACGAACAGAAUCCAAAAUGCAGAAGCUGAGACAAGAGGUGGGUUGUUCAUGGUAUGUCCGGUCUCGAUCCGAAAAAGCUGGAGAAGAAUGAACUGGCACCUGCAGCUAGCGAGCGUCAAAAUUCACAUCUAAAGUCUGCAUGAAGAACCAUUCAAGACUCAAGACCGAAGGCUCGGUCACAUUUCCUUUUCUCUUAAUUUUAGUCCCUCCAAAUAAGGGUCGGGUAAAAAACAUGCCUAGUCGUUCUUUGUCUGAAAAUACUUCGUAUUUCCCGUCAAAGAGGGGCAGUUGUAGACACGUGAUUUUUGACCUUCC
rnacentral:lncRNA from 1 species